CAGUAGCCGCGGUAAUACGAGGGGGGCAAGCGUUGUUCGGAAUUAUUGGGCGUAAAGGGUGCGUAGGCGGUUUGAUAAGUCAUCUGUGAAAUCUCUGGGCUCAACCCAGAGUCUGCAGGCGAAACUGUCGGGCUUGAGUAUGGGAAAGGUGAGUGGAAUUUCCGGUGUAGCGGUGAAAUGCGUAGAUAUCGGAAGGAACACCUGUGGCGAAAGCGGCUCACUGGACCAUAACUGACGCUGAUGCACGAAAGCUAGGGGAGCAAGCAGGAUUAGAGACCCCCGUAGUCCCUGUCUCUUAUAA
rnacentral:rRNA from 1 species